AGAAUCAACGCUGGCGGCGUGCCUAACACAUGCAAGUCGAACGAGAAAGUGGAGCAAUCCAUGAGUAAAGUGGCGACCGGGUGAGUAACACGUGACUAACCUACCUUCAAGUGGGGGAUAACCUCGGGAAACCGGGGCUAAUACCGCAUAACAUCUUUGGAGUGGAAAUUCUGAAGAUCAAAGGAGCAAUUCGCUGGAAGAGGGGGUCGCGGCUGAUUAGCUAGUUGGCGGGGUAAUGGCCCACCAAGGCUUUGAUCGGUAGCCGGCCUGAGAGGGCGCACGGCCACACUGGAACUGAAACACGGUCCAGACUCCUACGGGAGGCAGCAGUGGGGAAUUUUGCGCAAUGGGGGAAACCCUGACGCAGCAACGCCGCGUGGAGGAUGAAGUCCCUUGGGACGUAAACUCCUUUCGACCGGGAAGAUGAUGACGGUACCGGUGGAAGAAGCCCCGGCUAACUUCGUGCCAGCAGCCGC
rnacentral:rRNA from 1 species